AAAUUGAAGAGUUUGAUCAUGGCUCAGAUUGAACGCUGGCGGCAGGCCUAACACAUGCAAGUCGAACGGUAACAGGAAGCAGCUUGCUGCUUUGCUGACGAGUGGCGGACGGGUGAGUAAUGUCUGGGAAACUGCCUGAUGGAGGGGGAUAACUACUGGAAACGGUGGCUAAUACCGCAUAACGUCGCAAGACCAAAGAGGGGGACCUUCGGGCCUCUUGCCAUCAGAUGUGCCCAGAUGGGAUUAGCUUGUUGGUGAGGUAACGGCUCACCAAGGCGACGAUCCCUAGCUGGUCUGAGAGGAUGACCAGCCACACUGGAACUGAGACACGGUCCAGACUCCUACGGGAGGCAGCAGUGGGGAAUAUUGCACAAUGGGCGCAAGCCUGAUGCAGCCAUGCCGCGUGUAUGAAGAAGGCCUUCGGGUUGUAAAGUACUUUCAGCGGGGAGGAAGGUGUUGUGGUUAAUAACCACAGCAAUUGACGUUACCCGCAGAAGAAGCACCGGCUAACUCCGUGCCAGCAGCCGCGGUAAUACGGAGGGUGCAAGCGUUAAUCGGAAUUACUGGGCGUAAAGCGCACGCAGGCGGUCUGUCAAGUCGGAUGUGAAAUCCCCGGGCUCAACCUGGGAACUGCAUUCGAAACUGGCAGGCUUGAGUCUUGUAGAGGGGGGUAGAAUUCCAGGUGUAGCGGUGAAAUGCGUAGAGAUCUGGAGGAAUACCGGUGGCGAAGGCGGCCCCCUGGACAAAGACUGACGCUCAGGUGCGAAAGCGUGGGGAGCAAACAGGAUUAGAUACCCUGGUAGUCCACGCCGUAAACGAUGUCUACUUGGAGGUUGUGCCCUUGAGGCGUGGCUUCCGGAGCUAACGCGUUAAGUAGACCGCCUGGGGAGUACGGCCGCAAGGUUAAAACUCAAAUGAAUUGACGGGGGCCCGCACAAGCGGUGGAGCAUGUGGUUUAAUUCGAUGCAACGCGAAGAACCUUACCUGGUCUUGACAUCCACAGAACUUUCCAGAGAUGGAUUGGUGCCUUCGGGAACUGUGAGACAGGUGCUGCAUGGCUGUCGUCAGCUCGUGUUGUGAAAUGUUGGGUUAAGUCCCGCAACGAGCGCAACCCUUAUCCUUUGUUGCCAGCGAUUAGGUCGGGAACUCAAAGGAGACUGCCAGUGAUAAACUGGAGGAAGGUGGGGAUGACGUCAAGUCAUCAUGGCCCUUACGACCAGGGCUACACACGUGCUACAAUGGCGCAUACAAAGAGAAGCGACCUCGCGAGAGCAAGCGGACCUCAUAAAGUGCGUCGUAGUCCGGAUUGGAGUCUGCAACUCGACUCCAUGAAGUCGGAAUCGCUAGUAAUCGUGGAUCAGAAUGCCACGGUGAAUACGUUCCCGGGCCUUGUACACACCGCCCGUCACACCAUGGGAGUGGGUUGCAAAAGAAGUAGGUAGCUUAACCUUCGGGAGGGCGCUUACCACUUUGUGAUUCAUGACUGGGGUGAAGUCGUAACAAGGUAACCGUAGGGGAACCUGCGGUUGGAUCACCUCCUUACCUGAAAGAAGC
rnacentral:rRNA from 8 species